UACAGAGGGGGCAAGCGUUAUUCGGAAUUAUUGGGCGUAAAGGGCGCGUAGGCGGCCUGGCAAGUGGAAGGUGAAAUCCCUCGGCUUAACCGAGGAACUGCCCUCCAAACUGCUUGGCUUGAGUCCGGGAGAGGUGAGUGGAAUUCCCGGUGUAGCGGUGAAAUGCGUAGAUAUCAGGAGGAACACCGGUGGCGAAGGCGGCCCUCUGGACGGUGACUGACGCUGAGACGCGAAAGCGUGGGGAGCAAACAGG
rnacentral:rRNA from 1 species